GAUGAACGCUGGCGGCGUGCCUAAUACAUGCAAGUCGAGCGAACAGACGAGGAGCUUGCUCCUCUGACGUUAGCGGCGGACGGGUGAGUAACACGUGGAUAACCUACCUAUAAGACUGGGAUAACUUCGGGAAACCGGAGCUAAUACCGGAUAAUAUAUUGAACCGCAUGGUUCAAUAGUGAAAGACGGUUUUGCUGUCACUUAUAGAUGGAUCCGCGCCGCAUUAGCUAGUUGGUAAGGUAACAGCUUACCAAGGCAACGAUGCGUAGCCGACCUGAGAGGGUGAUCGGCCACACUGGAACUGGGAAACGGUCCAGACUCCUACGGGAGGCAGCAGUAGGGAAUCUUCCGCAAUGGGCGAAAGCCUGACGGAGCAACGCCGCGUGAGUGAUGAAGGUCUUCGGAUCGUAAAACUCUGUUAUUAGGGAAGAACAAAUGUGUAAGUAACUAUGCACGUCUUGACGGUACCUAAUCAGAAAGCCACGGCUAGCUACGUG
rnacentral:rRNA from 1 species